rnacentral:rRNA from 1 species
AUGGAGACACCGGCGGGAGGUUCCGCCGAUCGCCGGGUAACCGGGUCUGGCGCCUCCGCCGGUGCUGCGGCUUCUGGCCUCAGCCGCUACGGUCUCAAUUUCUCCGCCUCCAGCCUUCUCCAGGCUCUGCUCGCCGCGCUCCUCGAGUACUCAGGCGUUGUCCCCUCCGGGCCCGUCCCGCAGACGGUGCAGCAGGCGGUACCCUCCUCUUCAUCGUCGUCUGAGGCUGACGGGCUACUUUCUGCCGCCGCUGCUGGGGAUGGAGAGGUCUCGAUUCGGAUCCAGGGUGGCCCCGGCGACCCUGACACGGCGAGCGCGACGGCUACAGGUGCCUCGCCGCAGGACUCGAUUGAGGUGGCCGCCUCCUCCAACUUUGACCCGGCCUCCGUGGCGGGAAGGGGAAGCGGUGCUGAUGCGGAGGCAAGCGGCGGUGGCAGUGGCGGUGCUACGGGGAAUGGGGCUGGGGACCGCCCAUAUCAGCGUUACGACGUGCACCACGUUGCUCGGUGGAUCGAGCAGAUACUACCAUUCUCGCUGCUGUUGCUCGUCGUCUUCAUUCGGCAGCAUCUCCAAGGAAACCAAAGUGGAGGAGGAGGCGCGGGGAGAAAAAAAACCAGGGGAGGAGGUGGAGGUUUCUUUGUCACAAUUUGGAUUGCUGCUGUAAUGUUCAAGUCAAAUGAUAUAUUGAAGAAGCAAACUGCUUUGAAGGGCGAGAGAAAAGUUGCUAUGCUUGUUGGAAUCACCAUAAUCUUCAUGGUCCAUGUGUUUGGCGUCUAUUGGUGGUACAGGAACGAUUAUCUUCUUAGACCUCUGUUCAUGGUUCCUCCAAAAGAUAUACCACCAUUCUGGCAUGCAAUUUUUAUCAUCAUGGUCAACGAUACAAUGGUACGCCAGGCAGCGAUGACCGUCAAGUGCAUGCUACUUAUGUACUACAAGAACAGCAGAGGCCGUAACUACCGUAGGCAGGGACAAAUGCUAACACUUGUGGAGUACCUUCUGCUUCUAUAUCGUGCUUUAUUGCCGACUCCUGUUUGGUACCGUUUCUUUCUGAACAAGGAAUAUGGGAGUCUGUUCUCAUCUUUAACUACUGGGCUAUACCUGACUUUCAAGUUGACUUCGGUAGUUGAGAAGGUUCAAUCAUUCUUAUCUGCAGUGAAAGCAUUGUCACGUAAAGAUGUGCACUAUGGGUCUUAUGCGACAGCAGAACAGGCAAUUGCUGCCGGUGAUAUGUGUGCCAUCUGCCAGGAAAAGAUGCACGUUCCUGUUCUCCUUCGCUGUAAACAUAUUUUCUGCGAGGACUGUGUCUCUGAAUGGUUUGAGCGAGAACGAACUUGCCCUUUGUGUAGAGCAUUGGUAAAGCCUGCUGACAUUCGGUCAUUUGGUGAUGGUUCUACAAGUCUCUUCUUCCAGUUGUUUUAG